GUGAAUCUGUAUAGCCAGCACAACUUGGAGGAUUUCAUUGUGUACAAGUGUUUCAGUUUACAGGAUGGAUUUAAUCUCCCUCAGGACAGAAACUGGGAGAACUCUUCUGGAGCAAGCAGACUGAAGAUGGUUUGGUCCAAAUACUGUGAUGAAGGCUGGAUUCAAAGGAAAAGCCCCUACUGGCCUCUGGAUCAGGAGAUGCAGGCUGCUUUUGAAGCUCAGCCACGGAGGAUAUGUGAGGGGAACACCCAAAUAUAAAGGUCUUGGGUCUGCAGUUCACAGUCAGGUAGUUGUACAGGAGCCA